ACUCAAAGGAAUAGACGGGGGCCCGCACAAGCGGAGGAACAUGUGGUUUAAUUCGAUGAUACGCGAGGAACCUUACCCGGGAUUGAAAUGGAGUGGAAUAACGGUAAAAGCCGUUAGUCAGCAAUGACCACUUUGUAGGUGCUGCAUGGUUGUCGUCAGCUCGUGCCGUGAGGUGUCGGCUUAAGUGCCAUAACGAGCGCAACCCUGACUGUCAGUUGCUAACAGGUAAUGCUGAGGACUCUGGCGGAACUGCCGGCGUAAGCUGUGAGGAAGGUUGGGAUGACGUCAAAUCAGCACGGCCCUUAUAUCCGGGGCGACACACGUGUUACAAUGGCAUGGACAAAGGGUGGCUACCCGGCGACGGGAUGCUAAUCUCUAAACCAUGUCUCAGUUCGGAUCGGAGUCUGCAACUCGACUCCGUGAAGCUGGAUUCGCUAGUAAUCGCGCAUCAGCCAUGGCGCGGUGAAUACGUUCCCGGGCCUUGUACACACCGCCCGU
rnacentral:rRNA from 1 species